rnacentral:rRNA from 1 species
GACGAACGCUGGCGGCGUGCUUAACACAUGCAAGUCGAACGGAAAGGCCCUGCUUUUGUGGGGUGCUCGAGUGGCGAACGGGUGAGUAACACGUGAGUAACCUGCCCUUGACUUUGGGAUAACUUCAGGAAACUGGGGCUAAUACCGGAUAGGAGCUCCUGCUGCAUGGUGGGGGUUGGAAAGUUUCGGCGGUUGGGGAUGGACUCGCGGCUUAUCAGCUUGUUGGUGGGGUAGUGGCUUACCAAGGCUUUGACGGGUAGCCGGCCUGAGAGGGUGACCGGCCACAUUGGGACUGAGAUACGGCCCAGACUCCUACGGGAGGAAGCAGUGGGGAAUAUUGCACAAUGGGCGGAAGCCUGAUGCAGCAACGCCGCGUGCGGGAUGACGGCCUUCGGGUUGUAAACCGCUUUCGCCUGUGACGAAGCGUGAGUGACGGUAAUGGGUAAAGAAGCACAGGCUAACUACGU